rnacentral:misc_RNA from 1 species
GAUGAAGAACGCAGCGAAAUGCGAUAAGUAAUGUGAAUUGCAGAAUUCAGUGAAUCAUCGAAUCUUUGAACGCACAUUGCGCCCCUUGGUAUUCCGAGGGGCAUGCCUGUUCGAGCGUCAUUUCAACCCUCAAGCACAGCUUGGUCUUGGGCUUCGCCGCUAACCCGGCGGGUCUUAAAAUCAGUGGCGGUGCCGUCGGGCCCUGAGCGCAGUAAUUUCUCUCGCUAUAGGGUCCCGGCGGAUGCUGGCCAGUAACCCCCAAUUUUCUAUGGUUGACCUCGGAUCAGGUAGGGAUACCCGCUGAACUUAAGCAUAUCAAUAAGCGGAGGA